rnacentral:tRNA from 1 species
AGGGAUGAAGCUUAUACCAAGCAAUUAGCUGUUACCUAAUAGAUAGUGAUCAAUCCACCUACCCUA